rnacentral:rRNA from 1 species
CAGCAGCCGCGGGAAUACGAAGGGUGCAAGCGUUAAUCGGAAUUACUGGGCGUAAAGCGUGCGUAGGCGGUGAGUUAAGUCUGCUGUGAAAUCCCCGGGCUCAACCUGGGGAUGGCAGUGGAUACUGGCUCGCUAGAGUGUGUCAGAGGAUGGUGGAAUUCCCGGUGUAGCGGUGAAAUGCGUAGAGAUCGGGAGGAACAUCAGUGGCGAAGGCGGCCAUCUGGGACAACGCUGACGCUGAGGCACGAAAGCGUGGGGAGCAAACAGGAUUAGAUACCCGCGUAGUCCCUGUCUCUUAUAC